rnacentral:lncRNA from 1 species
CUCUGUGGUCACUUUCAUAGUCCUGUGGUGGUUAAAAAAAAACAACACAAAAAGAGUCCAGCCACACAAGAUCUGCUCCUGAAGCCCAUGCUAGCAGCCUGUGGGCUUUCCUGGAAGCAAAAUAACAUCUCUGAUUUUACAGAUAUAGUUACUAUGCCCCUAUGAGUUGUCCUGAUGUAACUUAAACAUUGCAAAAGGGCCUUUCUCUUUGAAUCUUACUUCUCCAUUGUGCUAUGUAUUUGUGAAGAAAAUAACCAAGCUCAGUUUCCCUUACUUUCCCUCAUCCACACUAAAUUCUGAUCUCAUUUGUAUUAUUAUUAUUAAAAAAAAAAAAAAAAGGUGAAUUCCUCACCUCAUUGUACAUCUGUCCAGCAGGAGAAGGUAUCCCUGUGCUGGGUAGGAACGGCUGAGCCUGGAGACAAGCAUUUUGCUGAGGGCUUAGUCUCGCAGAAACACUUUGGGAUGCUUUGCUGGAACAGCUCUGAAGAAGAUACGUAUGACAAGAAGCUGAAUAAAGAGCUCCUAACUCUGAAGAGUCGUGCACAACACUGAGAGAGCAUGACAAAACAGCACAAACAACUUGGGUCUCCCUGGUGUUGUAUAUAGUUUUCUUUAAAACAAAAUAAACAAGCAAAAAACAAACAAAAUACCCAACUGAUUACAGACUGAGGUAAUUCCUAUGUCCUUUUCUUUACUAGGCUAACAGUUAGAGCACUUGCCUAUAAAUUUUUUUUAAAGACCCCUGCUCACUUUACAACAUGCAUAUUGAUGCAAGCUACCAGAUGCCAGUUUCUUGAGUGAAGCCAUAAAAUAUUUUGUAAGCCUCAAAACACUAAUUCCUGAUAGCAAUACUUAACUGAGAGACGAAGGGACCUAGAUCUUCAGAAAAAGUCAGUUUGUGCCAUUUCAUGUGUAAAUCUCUGUUUUUAAUGGAUUUUCUUAUUCUCUGAGAAACAAAUCAUAAUUUUAGUUCUUUUAUCUAGUCUUUUUUUUUUUUUUUAGUAAAAUUAAUUGAUUGCACUCUGGACAGUUAGAUCACUUACUCUAUUAUUAUCUGCUACAAGUUCAGUAAAUGUUGUCUUUUACCCACCCAACUACAAGGGAUUGAAUGUAGUUGGAACAGACAGCUAGAUAAUUUGAAUAUCCACCUAGCUGGGUUAGUCGAGAUAUUAGUAUUGAUGAUUCUGAAUUUGUUUACCUGUAUUUUGCUUUCACUGGUAUUGAACUUGUGACCUUUUAUAGACUGCUGUAUCUGUUAGUUCUUUUUCAGUCAACUAUUGUGUAAAGUGUCCUUUGUCUUGCCCUUUUUAUAUGUUGUUGACAGUGAGCUGCAUUCUGAAAUAUGAUUGACUAAUCUUCUUUGGGUCACUGACUUGAAUAAAAUCAUGAGCGUAAAUGACAAUCAGCUUGCUAGUGCAAAUAGUGAUUGAGAGAGACAUUGGUUUAACAGAUUCUGAAAUCUGGAUGAAAUACCUGUGUCUGUUGAGAAAGGUUUGGAAAGAGCCAGACUUCAGUGUUGUCCAGUUCUCUAGUCAUCUCUGAGCAAAGCCUAAUAAUUAGAUACAUUAAAACUUAGACAUGAAAGUUUUUGUUCCUAUUCUGUAUGUACAUUUUAGAUCCCUAGCCAGCAAGUGCUGCUUGUGGUUACUGAAGUCCUCUUUUGGAGUGGAAGAGCAAUGGACAUGCAUAAGCGAUCUUAGGAGGAGAGAACUGCUGUUGUAGUCCGGCAAAACUACAGGAGCUGUGCUGCAAACAUGAGACCAAUGAAAUUCUCUAAACAAAUAAUCUUAGCAGCAACUUACCAGGAGUUCUUAGCCUCAAUGUAGCUCUGAGUGAAAUGGAAAGGGAGGUAUGAAGAAAUAUAGAGGUAUGGUGUCUUCUCAACAUUUCCCUUUGAGCUGCCUCAGAACAGUUCCUCAUUAGCAUCCUCAUCUCUUAAAUCCCUUUCUGAGAUAGACAGAAACACCCUGUGGCAGUGGUAGGUUACAGGCACUCAAAGUGAGAUCUGCAGGAGGAAGUCUGAGUGCUCCUUUAGUGAAAUGGCCUUGUUGUUUCAUGCAGCGUGAUUUAUUGUUACUUUGUUCACAUGAAAGUCAAAUUCAUUGAGUAAAUUAUAUAAUGUGAGCAUCUCUUACUUCCAUUAUCAUAGGAGCAGAAUGUGCUAAAUUGAGCAAAUCAACCGAAUCAUUACUUAAUCAUGUGUUUAAUUCAUUUUCAUGGAUCUUCACCAUGGGUAUUGGUUACGUCCUUGCAAAUGCACUGCUGUUGUGUUUCCCUAGAAAACACUCUUUCCUCUCCUCAGUAUUCAGUUAAUAGAUAUUACAUGAAUAGAUUUAAAUUAGAUAACUUCACAAGUAGCGAAUUCAGGCUACAGAUAGAUUUGUGUUGUGCUAUUGAAGUUUGUUUAAAGAUCUUUCUCUGGAAACUUGUAUAGAACAAAGAAUUUUGCAGAAGUCAUGAAGAAAUGAGAAAAGUCUGAAAGGUAUUUGUGCUGGAGCUAAUGAAGAGCGUAGUACAGAUCCCUACAAUGGCCACGGAAGAGGGAGUGGUCCAAGGCCAAGAGGUUUAAUUUCAAAUCCCCUCUCUCCCUCUGUUGUUUUUUCAAAGUUAGGAUUUUUCCCUCUUUCUUUCCUUCUUCACUUUUCAGUCCCUUCUUACUUUCUUCCAAUGUGACUCCCAGAUCUCUCUUUAUAACUAACUCCCUCAACUAACUUAGUGAUUGACUUCAAUGGGACUUGAGGAUGUGCUCAAGAGCACUCCUGAAGAAGGAUGCUCUAGUUAAUCAGAACUGAAAUUGUCUGCAAAGUAAAUAACAUUUAUGAUGAGUUUUCAGUUAUUGAAUAAGUGCAAGAACAAUUUCUUCAGGUUUAUUUUGUCACAAGUGACUUUAUUCAUUAAUUGUUCAAGCAACUAGAUAAACCUCUUUCAAGUACAUGGUGUGGAAGAGAAAACCCCACUUAUGUAUUCCUUUAAGAACUCUAGUUUGCAUGCCCCCAGAGCAGUACAUAUACUUUGUAGUGCAGUGUUUAAUAAGUAUAAUGAAAACAUAGUUUUACUUCUUUAUUGAUUUUAUUUCUUUAUGACUAAAUCUAUACUAAAAAUUUAACGUCUAAUGUAUUUUCUGGAGAACUUUUGGCUCCAAUCAGUUAGCCAGGUGUUUCCUGGGAGUUACUGGUAGGUGCUGUCUCAAUACAUAUUCUCCUUCAGUGGAGGGCAAGAGAAGAUAAUGGUGUUACUCAGUUCUGUGGCAGCAGGUGUCAGCAGCAGUCAGAGGUCCUGGGCAGGUUUAGCUCAUAGCAUAGGUACACUAGGCUGCAGAAGGGCACAGAAGAACCCUCAUGUUCUUUGAUUAAGGGACUGUAAUUUUAUCUAAUCAUUAAGCAGGUAAAAGCAGCAAGGCAGCUCCAAGUUGAAUUGUGAAUAAAUAGAGGAAUGCUGCAAACUGUUUUGAAAGUAAGUUGCAUUGACCUAACCCUCAGAGCUCUAAUAGUUCUAGCUGAACAUCAAACUUGUGAAGGGCUUGAAGAAUAUGCCCUAUGAGGAGAGGCUGAACUGGGGCUGUUUAGUCUGAGGAAAAGGAGGCUGAGGGUAGACCUUAUUGCUCUCUUCCAGUAUCUGAAAGGUGCUUACAGUAAGAGCGGAGUUGGUCUCUUCUCACUGAUGACAGGUGACAGGACGAGGGGAAAUGGCCUUAAGUUGUGCCAGGGUAAGUUUAGGUUGGAUAUUAGGAAACUCUUCUUUUCAGAGAAGGUUUUUAAGCACUGGAAUAGGCUCCCCAGGGAGGUGGUUGAGUCAUCAUCCCUGGAUGUGUUUAAAAACCGUUUAGAUGUGGUGCUCAGGGAAAUGAUUUAGCAGAGUGUUGUUAGAGUUAGGAUAGUAUGGUUAGGUCAUGGUUGGACGUGAUGAUCUUUAAGGUCUUUUCCAACCUGAGUGAUUCUGUGAUUCUGUUCUAUGAUUCUAGUACCUGUUUUUCAAAAUGAAAUUGUGUAUUACUGCACUUUGGUCCUUUGCAAUUUUUUUUUUUAAUAUGGAAAAUAACUGUAAUAUAUUCCCUCAAUAAAGACAUUUAGCAUCUCAGACAUCGUAUAUAAAUGAUCUUGUUGGUGCCAUUACACGUGAAUUCCACAGCAUGUGAUUGCAUCCCUGUGGUAGCAUACAAAUAAAUAACCUGCGGCAUACGUCAAAUUAUGCCAGGACUAAGACACAGUGAUAGCUUCAUGAAUCAUCAACCACAUGGCUGAAGCCUGUGUAUUCUGGGUAUACUUUGCAGUCUUUGUAGUCUUUCAGGUCUGACAGGCAAUCGAACAGUCAAUCUUUCUGGCCCCUUUGUGCAGGUGGCUGAUUUCACCGCCUUCUUGCACAUCCCUUGAGCCCAUGUUAUUGUCAUUAAAUUUAAGGAAAGCACUGGAGUUGUUUGUUGAAAUGUUUUAUAGGGCUUCUUUUGACCAAAUAAGAUGUCAAAAAUGAAUUUAUCACAGAUUUUUAUUUUUUAUUGUAAUAUUUAGCUUUUGUUUUUGUUUAAAAAAAGCUUACCUUAAAAAAUGAAGACACGGAAAAAAAUGGAUCUCUGCAAUGGCUAGGUUUCAAAAAUUUCUGUGAAAAAUCAGGAGUUUUGUCCUUUUACUAUUUUUUUUUAUCAAAUGUUUUCAUACAGAAGCAAACAAAAUUUUUCUACUCUGCUGACCAUCUGCACAGGGCUAUACUGCUCUAGACCUUGCUUUCCUUGAGGUACAAUGGGAGCAUGGGAGAGUCCAGGUAAACACAGAUGUUUCCUGAUCAUAUCCAGUUGAAGAGCUUCAGCUUGACUGAGUGUGUUUUCUUCCUCUCCAGUAGAAGCCCUGCAAUCACCCUUGGUUAAAUCAGAGAAUGAGACUGUGUAAACCAGUAUCCUCUGUAUAUUCUUUAUUGCCUGUAAUUGACUGACUUUUUAAAUAGUCCAUUUUGACUAUUUUUUAAAUAUUGACUAUUUUUUAAAUAGUCCAGUGGCAAUGGAUUGUGUCAAACUUUCUCUCCCUGACUAAAACAUGUAAGCUGUGACUUUAAAAAGAAGUAUAUGCGUCAUAUGCUUGGCUGAGUCAAACUAAACCUGUACAAACAAUAUAUAAUUAUAGAUCAAUUGCCAGACUUAUGAACUGCCUGAUACUAUUCAACAUAAUGACAGCUAUAUUUCUGGCAAUGAAAAGCUAAUCCCACAGAAAUAUCAGAUACGAUCCUCCAUGUUUUUCUUACAAGAAAUUAUGUGGAUUUUUUUAGAUCUGGCCUUCUGAAUAGAUCUAACAUACCAGUAUGGUUUGUACUGUACAUUACCUGUUAAUUAUAGUAGACAAGAAUUCAAGUUUGAAAGAGGUAAAAACUGAUAAAUGUAAAAUAAUGUUCUGGCUAAAGAAUUGCAUUCUUCAGUGAGACUGGAGAAAAGAAUCAGCUUUAAUGAUAUAUUAGCAGUGGAGAAACUGCAUACCUUAGAAAGUCAAAUUUUAGAGCAUUUUUUUAUAUUCAAGACAAAAUAUAGAGCCAAGGAACAAGCUAACUAAAUAUACAUCUCUCUAUAUAUAAUGAUAGUUAAGAAUUGGAAUCAUAAAAUUUACCUCAGCUGGAACUAACAUUUCUUAGUCUGAUCUGAAUAGCAAUCAUAGCUAUAACACACUAUUGCAGUGCACUGAAAAUAUGUUAGUUCCCAUCUGGAAAGUUGCAGUGAUUGCACUUUUUAAAAAUUUCCUUCUAACAAGAAGCAAUUUUGCAAUCUCAGCUCUGGCAGAAAUUAUCAAGAUGAAAUGCUUCUUUUACCUUUACUUAAAUGAUACAUUAUGCAAAUUGAAAACAGCAAUUUAAGGAAACAAUUAUAUAAAGAGAACAGCUUUUCUGACUCCUGAACAGGAAAUGUUACGGGAUAAAAAAAGCCAACCCUAAAUGCUGUUGACUUCAAGCUAUUAUAGGAGGAAAAGCUUGAUACCUUUCUUCAUUCAAAGACUUCCUGUUUCAGCAGUUGCCAGUAAAAACUGUCCUUGUGUAAUAUCCCUGAAGCCUUUUAAAACCUGAGAAUAAAUAAGUGAAGUUGUACUCCUACUAAAAAAGUGAGGAUGUUGCUAUUGCUACAUUCUUAAAUAACCUGUAUCGGAAAUGUUCUAGUGUUCUUGCUCCUGCCUUGGAUAUAUGCCUGGAUGUGAGCUCUUAAAGUUCAUUCUUGAGCAAAUAUCGGUUAUAUUUCCUUUAUUCAGAAUCAAACAAAUAAAAAAACAAAUAAACAAAAAAACCAACAACCAGAAAUAAAAAUUAUUUUGAUGGAUUCUUUUAAAAUAUAACUCCAUAUUUUUACUGCUGAUAAUAUUUAGGAUAUUUAUAUAGGAUAUAUAUUUUCCUAGAGGACUCCUGCUACUAUGUCUUUAUUGCAUGAUGUGACAUGCUGACUGGUGCAUUAUAUGCCCCACAAUUUUCUACUCCUGUCCAAACUGUAUUCAGUCUGUCAAGACAGUUUUCUUAGGUAAAGAUGGAAAGGCAAAGAUGAAAAGAAUCUGAAUUACAUGCAAAUAGAUCAAAAUAGUAAUUUUUUUUUUAGUAUCAAAAAGUUAUUUCUGCAAAAGCUUUUCUUAGACUAUGAUGCUCUAAACAUUGCCUUUAACUUUGAACUGCUGCAGCUCAGCUUUACCUCACUGAGGAGAUAUCUGUGACAUGGUGGAGAGGGGUGUGACCAAAGCAGUAUCACCUAUACUGACAAUUCAAAUGAUAUACUUAAUUCUCUUCAAAAGACACAUCUAAUAAUGUUCUUGCCUUUCCUGUUUUGCCAGCCUUCCACCUGUAUGACUUUCUGAAUAAAUGUGUCAGCAUGAGGGUGACACAGAAUGCUGUAAUGGACAGAUGUUACACUAAAGAAUCCCACAACCUGCAGGUGCAUUGACUGAAGCAGUGUGGUCAAAGUCCAAAUUAAUAUGAAUUACUUUGAAGUUGGGUGCAUUAGUGUCAUGUGUUCUUGGAAAUAAGUUUAACUGAUGUAUAAAUAGUGAUUUCUUUUUUUUUUUUUUUUUUUUUGGUCAAAAUUGUGCUUAUUAUAACAAGAUUUAUUAUUUAGGUUAGUGUCUAUAUUGUCUUUAUUUAUGAUUAGCUGCCAAAUCUUAAUAGAUGCUGAAAGUUGAUUUUACUAUAGAUGCUAACACAUAAUUAUCUUUUCUUUGGUCCUACCCCUCCCUGUUUCCUAAUACUAUAAUUCAUUUUUUCUGCUGUUGGAUUUACCUUUGUAUAGAGCAGUAGCAUGGUAAGCACUGGAAACAUGGUAAAAGAUCUAGUAGUAGAAAGCGUCCUUGGAUUGAAUUAACAUAUGUCAGAUCUCUUUAAAUUUUGUAUGAACACAGGUAGGUCUAUAAUUAAGAUUUUUCAAUUUGCAGACUAAUCUGUGAGAGAUAUCGAGUGAAAGAAACUGAGGCUGAAGACAAAAUUGAACUAAGAAGUUCAGAACAUGAUGUAAAGAUGAUACUUGCCAUUUUUCUGAAGGAAAGAAAAGAAGGAUCAGGAAUCUGAGAUCCAAAAUAUUGUGAACAAAUCUUCAGACAGUGGAAAAAAAACUGUCAGCAUUUGAGGAAGCAUGUAGAGUGCUUUCACAUGAUCAAAGAAGGGCUGAGGAUUUAAGCAAAGUGCUUUGGAUGUCAGAAAAUUAUGGAAUCAUAGAAUGGAUUAGGUUGGAGGGGAUCUUAAAGCCCAUCUAGUUUCAACUCCCUGCCGUGGGCAGGAUUACCACCCAUCGCAUCACACCACAUCAGGCUGCCCAGGGCCCCAUCCGAUGUGGCCUUGGAGGCCUUCAGGAAUGGGGCAUCCACAGCCUCUCUGAGCAACCUAUGCCAGUGCCUCGCUACCAUCUGCGUAAAAAAUUCCUUCCUAACAUCCAAUCUGAAUUUCUGCUUGUUUAGUUUAAAUCCCUUCCCCCUUGUCCCAUGACUAUCAACUGAAUAGGAAAAGAGAAUUACAAGCAGUCAGCCUGAGUUAGAGAUGGAAAGGAGACUAAAACAAAUAGAAGGCUUUUUGCUCAGUAAAUAAUGACAAGAUAAUGAUACUUAACAUAUUGUUUUAAAACAGUAGAAAGAUGAAGAAAUAAAAAAUGGAAAUACUCAGAAUCAAAGAUUGGCUAAUAUGAAUCAAUUAUUAAGAGGAUUCACUAAUUGGGCAAGGGUAAGAAGGAAAGAAAAUUAAUAAAGUAGGUCCAUUAAUUUUUAGGAAGUUAUUGGGUCGUAAAAAGCAGCUGAGAAUUCAGAAUCUCUAAUAAAAUAAAUUAAAUAUAGAGGAUGUUGAGCUCCAUAAAAAUGGUUUGUUUAAAAUUAGCUUUUCUCAUUUCUGUGUUUCCAAUGGAGAAAUCAAGUGGGAUUAAAAAAAAGGAGCAAUGAAGAUAAACAUGGUAUUUUGAAUAUUUAAAGUAGCUUGGGGGCUGUGAGUAAUAAAAUUGUAGAUGUACCUAUUUAGAUUUUAGUAGGAAGAUAUUUUUGCUUGUAUGUGUUCUGCUUCUGAUUGAGAAACUGUUUAAUUGUGCUGGGAUCGUGUGGUACCUGAGCUAAGAGCUCUGCUGGGAUGGGUGAUGCCCAAUGAAAUGGAGGACUGCUAUGGGAGAGUUCCUUGUGGCAUUGCCUCUGUGAACACUCCCUUCUUUAAAAUGUGUCUGAUCCAGAGUGAAUUACACAAAUUAUGAGACCUAUUUGAAACAGGCUGCAUUGAGGUUGACAGUAGGGGAGUGUCUGUGGCAUCUCCUACAGACUUGGCUGGUAACUGGGCACUGAGCUGCAUGGGCUGAAGCAAACAUUUGCAAGAGUAGGAGAGUGCCAGUGCAGAUUUUGGGGGAUGUCGAAGGGAUUUGAACACCUCCAGGUUUUGAGUGUUGUUGAGUGCCAUUAUGUUGGGAAAAACUGAGUUGACUAAGGCCUGUUGUAGGGCCUUCCCACCUCUCCUUGUACAGCUCAGAUCAGUGGUUUACAAUGCAUCAGGAACUGCUAAUGUGACUUCGCAGCAUUCGCUUUGAAACAAACAACAAAUUGUAAGCAGGCUUCAUUUCAUUAGCUGGGGUUGUCUGGCGAGGGAUCAGAACACUGCUGGGGUCAGAAUUAGUGCAAUCAUCUUAGCACCAGUUCCUGCCAGCUGUAACCCCAAGGCCCCAGAGAAGUACCCGUGUAUGGGCAAUUCUGAAGUGAUGACCUUACAGGCUGCUCACUGUUUUUUUGUUUGUUUGUUAUUACUCUGUUUAUCUGUUUGUCUAUAAAUUAUUCUGCAUCUGUAGUGUUCAGUCCUGUGCAGCAGUUCCUGUUGCGCAGUGCCUUGCCAGCCUUCCCCUCUCUGUGCUGUGCACCUGUGUGUCCCGUAUAUGCCUCCAGUGCUCCCAUCAGUCUGUGUUCUCUUUCUUCUCUGCUGUGCUGUGUACACCCUGCAGUCUAAUCAGAUGUGUGCUGAUCAUAGGAAUCUUCAUGUUCUUUUGUUUGAAGCACCUCAGCAGAGCUCUCUGCUUUUUUCUUCCUGCCUGACAGUUACGCUCAUUGCUUUGUCAUCCCAGUCAGUGGGAGUGCAAGAACUAGCAGCAUCCUGGCAUUCUUGUUGAAGGCACACACUGGAGAGCAUUUUCUGUCACGAUGUUCAAAACAAACAUCUACUGCAAUGCAGCUGUUUGAGCUCUGCUUGCUCUUGCUACUAUUUUUGUUUGCAGUUCAAUACAUUUUCUUAAACCUCUUUUUGUAAGUGCAGAUACAUGCUGCAAGCUGAUAUCUGCUCAGGGAGCUGCCUGCCUUGGCAAACAGGCAUCUGUUUUUCAGUGUGUCAACAGGCAGUUGUUCAAGCAGUGUUUUCUUCCUGUGUUAGUCUGGCCCAAUAUUUGAAUAAUCCUUUUGUUUGCCUUCACCUGAGGAGAUUGUGUGAGAAUCCAGAGUGGUGAGUUUACCGAUGGAUCCACGCAGCCCUGGAUCAGAUUAUUUUUUUAGUUACUCAACCUCUUAUGCUCUAUUAGGUUUAUAUUAAAAUAUUAAUAAUUCCAGAACCAGGAUCAUGCAGUUAAUAUUGUUCCCAUGAGCAAUCUGCUACUCAGUAAAAACUGGUGCUGAUAUCUCAGAGGCAGUAAUUUACCAAUAUUCAUCUUGUUUCCUAUUCCCCUGUACAGCAGCUUGUCUUUAUCUUGUCAGGAGAAAAGCUACUGCUCUGCUGUUUCCCCAGCCAAGAUCAUUUCAAAUUAACGCAUCUUAUUAUAUGCACACCCAGGGCCUCAUCUGUAAUCAUCCUUCAAAACAGCAGUUUGUUCUGUAAUUAACUUGUAACUGUAUGGCUCAUGCUGCAUAUGAAUGGUUCAGUUCUUCCUGCAAAACAAUCUGCUGAUUUGAAAAUGGUCUGAAAUAUAUUUUUAAUUGAGAAUAUUUUUUAUUUUAUCAUUACAAUAGUGAGAGAAUACCUGAAAGAUGCUUAGUUUGUUUUAGCCAAGUUCUAAACCCAGGAAGAUAAAUGUUUGCCUCUUUCAAAGAAUGAGACCUGCUAAAAUGGAUCUUUCUGUAUCAUGUCUGGAAGUGUUUUGCUGAACAGAAAUAGCUGUAAGAGUACUUACAAUACUUAGUAUGACUAUAAGUAAGUGCUGCAGUCUGGCAUGGAAUUUAUUAUUAUUACUAUUAUUAUUAUUAUCAUUAUUUAGGAGGCUGUGGCUCCUCCCUUCCUACUACACUUAGUAGUAGGUCAGCUACAGCUACAGCCAACCAGAAAUUGCUGGGAGAUAAGUUUUCACUUCAGGAUGCGUUGCAAUGCCUGGAGUGCUUGAGCAUUUCCCUCUGCACUAAGCUGUAUGUUCUUCUACCCAAAAGAAAAGUUUCUUCCGUCCAGUUUACUCUGGAUCAGCCAGGCACAGAGCACUCUGCUGCAUUCAGCAUUUUGUCUGGGAAGUAUAGGGGAAGGUGCAGGUCACGAGGAGUGAAAAUUAGAGAGGCUUGUGAAGUGCAGGGCACUCUUCCUUCAAUGUAUUGCAUAGGCAGGGCAUGCUGCUGGGCAGCUUUCCCUGGGAAGUUCCUGCUAGAACUUUCUCAGUGGUGGGAAUUCUCUCACAAAGUUUAAAAAGGAUUUGUCCUAAAGAGGAGUAGGAACUUGCAAGGGAAGAGAGGCUUAGAGUACUGCUUAUAGGAGGAAUUUUUGGACUGGGAGGGAGAGGUGGAUAAAAGCAAGGUGUCUUUCUUUUGAAGGAUCUAGAGGCCCUGUACUUCCACAGAAAGAAGGGGAAACAAUUUUCUUGUGUUCACAUUUAUAGGAAUUGAUCUGAUCCUUUGCUUUUGGUGAAAAGUGAGACAGAUGGGAAUUUUUAAUUCUAGGAAUUGUGACACUCAUUGAGUAGACUGGUAGAAGAAAUGAGUAAGGCAUCCCCACUGCUCUCUGCCUUCUUUUCUGACUGGUGUCAUAGCCUUUGUGGGUAGCAUUAUCCUGGGAACAGAGGGAAAGGAUGUUGGGGAAGGAGGGUGGAGGUAAAGCAUGGGUCAGGAGCCUCAGGAAACCCAAGACUAUUCACAUAGAUAGCUCAGCAGGAUCCAUUCCUCAGAUCUGGAGUGACACCGCUGCGGCUGUGGUAGGCCACCUCUACCCGAACAUGGCUAUUUUGUUUGCAAAGCCCUGGUAUCUUAAGGAGUGCAAACAUCUAGUUUGUCUUUUUGUUUUUCCCUGAGUAUUCACAGUUUGCUCUGGGCACUUGCAGCAUUUGGGAAGAAUAUCACUCUGAUUUGUUGCCUGCAAGAGAGUCUAAUUAAAACAAGAGAGCAGGAUGGGAAGUGAUGACACACAGUGCAGCUGAGCUGAUCCCAAAGCUGAACAUGGCAGCUGCAGUUUUCAUCAUUUGCAAAGCCUCAGCCAACACGUUGGCCCACAGAGUUAAAAUAAAUGUCUAAUUACGUUGUUUAAUCAUUUCAGUUCCAAAUUCGUGCUUGCAAGGAUUGCAAAAGAUAGGAGUGAAACAGCACAAGGGCUGUGAUCGCAGCAGUGGCCUGCCAGUAAAUCUGAAAUCAGGAUGCUUUUUCUGAGUCAGAUUGCUCCCUGCUCCUCACAGUGGUCAAGCUGUAGAGGAAUGACUCUCUGUGCCUGACCAGGCUGCAGCCCUGUCCCCAGCUCUGCCUCACCUGCACUGCUUGGCAGCACCAUGCUAAUUAGGUGUAGAGCAGUGAGCCCUGCAGGUACUGAGAGCAAAGACUGGGAAAGACUUCAAAGGUGUUUACUAGUUUCUUUUUAUUCUUAAUCCUAUAGUGAAGCUAUAAAAGAAAUAUCUAAUCACUGCUGUCCUGAUCCAGCAGUGUGUUAUGUACGGAGAGACACUGCUCUGGCAUAUUUUUGGUUGAGGUGGUUUUGAGUUUCUUUGUGACUUUCUGAGAGGGAGCAAAUGGGAAAAACCUCAUUAGACCUGAUUGUUAAAGGUGGACAGGGGAGAUACCAGUGUCAAGUGGAGGACUGAGAACCUCAUGUUGAAACAGCCUCCUGGGAGUUGAAAUGUGUUAAGUCUAAGUCUAGCCUGGGGCACAGGGAGCACCUUUUGACCCACAGCCUAGGCAAAUUCUCUAGAUUAAAGUGAUGGGGACAACUGGCCCUUAAAUCUCUUCACAGCUCUAGCCCACAGUUGCCAAAAUAUUUGCCAGUAAAAUACAUUAAUAUGUCUAGAUUAAUGGAUCUACUCUGUACAAAUGCACAUUUGUUAAGUUAUUUGUGAAUCAACUGUUGGUCUAGAUUACUGUUACAAAAAGCACUGGAAGUGAGGUGACUUUACACAUACAAGCGGAUCCCACUGAUAACGUACAUUUGCUUAAGCAGUGGCCCACAGGAACUGUAAGGUGUUAUCCUUUGUUUGUCGUUCUUCAUAUGGCUCAAUUGCAGAUGAUUGUUGAAAACACCACCAAGAAGUAGGAAAAAAAUGUCCUUAUGAUAAAUUUUCAUCUAAGAUUGCUUUUCUUCUCUUUUCCUAAAAGUCUUCCUUUCCUUAGUUGGGAAAAUUCUGCACAACAUGAAUGAAGGUUACUAAAACAGUCAGUGCUUCACUUGCUGUUAACUGGUGUGAAAAGAGCAUGUCUGAGUUUAGGAGAUACUUACAGCCAACAGUUUUCAGUAAUCAAGAUCAUGACUCGUAUACAAAGAAAUUGUGACUGCAGUAAAUGAACUUGGUGAACUCUCCUGAGAACAAGAUUUUGUUUAAUUUCAGUUCCCACAAACUAUAUCUCAUGUUUCUAUAUGAAUACUAAAGUUUAAUCUAUUCCAAAGUAGUUGUAAGAGAAGUGGAAAAUGAAACCUUAAGUACUAAGAAGCCAGGCAUACUCGCAAUCCAAACUUUGGCCUAUUUUAAAGAACCACAUUUUUAUUCUAAAGGGAUUUCCUCUAAGAAGACAUUAACUGUUGCAAUGAGAAACUUUUUGGAGAGCAAAAAGAAUUGUCCCCAGAGUUCGGUGUCAGUUUGCUGCUGAUGUCUGUUUAGCUAAUUUAAUACUGCCAUUUACUAACAGUGACUGCAUACCACAGUCAACUGGAAAGCCAAUUGAUUUCUUCACGCUUCUAUUGGAGCAGGUGGUCAGUCAGCUGUACUCUCCCUUUUUCCAUCAAGGUUUUCACAUUUUAAUUCUCUAUUUCUUCCCUGGACUGAUGCUUUUUGUAAUUAGUCUUACCUUUUUCUCAAUAAUCUCCCAAAUCUCUACUAAAAUCUCCCAAAUCUCUGGAACCUUUGAUGCAACACUUUGAGUUAUUACAAACUUCUGACACGUGGUAAUCCUAGAAUUUGUUUGCAGACCAGACAAAUAAAAGGGCCAGGUGCAAUCUUUGGGUAUGCAGUGGCUGUUACUGGGGUCCAUGCUAGAGCUUUUGCUUUCCAAGUUGUUGGCUGCUGCAUCUGUCUUUCGUACAUUUCUGUGGCUUUUUGUCACAGAGGGAAAUGAAAGUAUUUUCAAGCACGGAAGACUACAACAUGUUUUUAUCUACACACAUUUUUCAAGAACCUUUGCAUUUUUAAGCUAUUUUUUUUUCUUUUUUUCAACCACUUAGUCUCAGAGCCUUAAAAAAAGGCUUUCCAGAAAGCCUACAUAGAAAAAACAGUAUGUUUCAUUUCUUUUGUUCUCAUUGAUCCUGUGGGGUGAUGAUGUGAUGAUUACCUAAAAAUCUUGGUGCCCAUCUGAGAGUGGUAAGAAUUUAAAUGAGUGAUUUUUUUAGUUCUCAUUACCUGGAGACAGCAUAGAUUAGACUUUGAUAAAAUGCACAGAUUAGAACAAAAUGGAAUUACACAUGUUCAGCUGCUCUGGAGUUUAUGAAGCUUGCUGGUUCCUUUUUUUUUUCCUUUCAUUUUUUCUUUUUCUUUUUCUUUUUUUUUCCCUCAUGCACAAAUGCAAGUAGUAUUUUAUUCUCACAGAUAUUUCAGGUUUUAUUAGGUCUAUUUUUUGUUAACACUGUGCUGUCUGUAAAUGUUCACUAGCCUUUAUCCAGAUACCAGCCUCUUUUCUUUUGUAUCUUUUUCUAUAAUAUGAAGUAAAUCCAAAGUGGUAUUUUAUUUUUCAUGCUUUCUUGUAUUCAUUUUCAGCAAAGGAUUGAAAUAAUUCCUAGGUCUUAUGACGAGGGUGGAAUGAAUGCAAUUACUGAGUUAUAAAAGGAUAUUAAAAUAUACCACAAUGACUGCAACUCAGUAAAAUCCAUAGUCUGAUCCCCACCUAAUAGGAAGUUGAAGGAAGCUGAAAAAAAAUUAAGCGUGUUUUUCUGAUUGUGAGUUUCCACGAGUGCAUGGCAGAAGGUCAUCAUUCAACACACUGCAUCCUAGUCCUCUGUUGGUGAAAGUGCACUUUCUGACUUUUGAAGGCUUAGGCUUUCCUCUAUCUGCUGUAAAUUGGACUGAAGGCAUCAAUAACUGAGACUGGUAUUGUAAGGUGUGCUGUGAUGCAUAUCUAUUGCUAAAACUCCACAGUGUUCACCAGGUUGCAGUUCAUCUCCCUUCUCUGUGAAGGCGCAUUGCUUAUCAGAUGCAAUAAGCAUUAGACCACUAGGCCUGAUGUUUUGUCCUGCCUCUGGUCCCAGAACAAUAACUGCACUUCCAGUGAGUGCAAUCUGCUUUCACCUUCUAAUGUUUAUGCAAGGGAGGGCUAGAGUCAAGCUCACACAGUGUAUCCACUUAAAAAAUACUUCAUCUAAACCUGUGACAGCAUUAAAUUUUUAAGCUGAUUAUCUUGCUUUUUUUUUUUUUUUUUUUUUUUUUUUUUUUUACAACCAUCUUGUUAUGCAAUGGAUAUAUUCAUGUUCCUUCAAUUUCAGAGGAGUGUAAACUUGUCAGCAGCACAGUGGGUCAUCCUUGAAGCGUCAGAACAGCAUAGGGUGAGAUUUUUCAAGGCAAGUACAGAAUUAAGCUAGUAAAGAGAAGUUGAAAUCUGUUACCAUAAGGACAGCUUUUGCUUCACUAUCCAUGCUUGAAAAUGUUGUGGAUCAUUUCUUUUUAGGAAGAGGCUGCUGAAACUGGGAAUGGAGAAUGAAAUUAAAAACAGAAUGUAAUGUAGGCAGGCUUUUAUGCCAGCCUAGAUAAUCCUGUUGCCCUUAAUGCAGCUUUCUGCUGCUGAAAGAAAAACAAAUAUUCCUCUCCUACUUUUCAUUGAAGAUCUUUUUUUUUUUUUAAUAACAUUGAGACCUUGCAAAAUCUCAAUACCUUGAACGUCUUUGGUACUUCAGUGAAACUGCAAGCUACCAUUCAAUUUUUAACAAUUCCUCCAUGCGUUUGCCUGUUGGCUUUCCUGGCUUAACAUGUUUUGCAGUUGCUGAGUGUAUUUCAAGCCUAAAUGUGUACUUACAUAGCUAAGCUGGGUGCUCUGCAAAUGAAAUGCUCAAUUAAACACAAAAGAGGAGGCUGCCAUUGAUGCAUGCAGUAUUUCUCCUUGAAAUCAGUUGUGGAAAUUGCCACAGAGCUCUCAUCUUCUAGUUGCUUUUUCAUCAGUCCCACAGGAGUGGUUGGGCUAAUUUCAAUUUAACAUUCAACUUAAAACACUCAUGUACUCAUGGCUGCAGAUGCACCUUGCUUAGAUUCUUAAGGUAAAACAAAGCAGUGUGGUAGCACUGGUGUGGCAGCGCUCAGAUGUGCAAUGCAUCACUAAAAAGGGUGCAUAACUUCACCAGUACCUGUUUGGGUCUAGAUAAAAUAGGGGUUUAAUUGGCAAGAAAUUAGGCUUUGCAGCACCCAGCUUGACUCUAGAAACCAGUGAGACCUUAUAAGGAAUGAAGUACUCUUGGUUAAAGUGUAAUCUGGGUAUAGAAGCAGAC